AAGGAGAUUAUUUUUCAGUGAAGUAACAUACCUAUCUCUGCAUGAGCUAUGGAUCUCACAAGCCUUUCACUGGAAGGUACUCAGCAUGUGGAGCACUAAACUCAAAGGAAUAUCUACCUUGUAUAUGUCAGAGUACAUGGCUGGAGGCUGGACUCAGAACAGGGACACAUCUACUUUUUUUCUGCAUGAGGAAACGGAGCAUCUUCUGAGGCAUCCACACACAGCAAUGCCCAUUAAUAAUAUAUGUGCAUAGAUAAGCUUUUCUUUAAAGCAAAUACCAGCGGUCACCAGCACAGAGAUCACUGCAGGAGGUGAGCUACUGCCUCUAACCGUCGGUAGCUCGAACGUGCCUGAAUGAAUGCUCACUGCUGAGAAAACGUGCUGUUGGAAAUGCUGCUGGGACUUUGGUGCUAUGUCUGAAAUCCCACCGGGCACCAAACAGCCCAAUGGUUUGGGACAGCCCACCCCACAAAAAGCAGCUCCCGGCCCCGGCACUGCGGUCCUAAGAUGCCCCCUGCCUGCACAGCAAGCCAACCCUGUGUUACAUCCCCUUUGAUCUCUUCCCAAAUGUAAGGCUAAACAAGAACAGAUUGUUUUCUUUAAAUUCAGGGGGGGUGGAGAGAGGGAAAGGAGGGAAGAAAUUGGCCUGCUAGGUUCAUCUCAACCACACUAAAAAGUCCUUUUAACUUCUCUUAAUGAGGACUACUUUUUCCAGAUACUACCUAAUUACUGCAAAUUGCUUCAUCUUUUAAUUGUUACUGCAAGGCAACUAAACAUUGUUAUGUUGAUUGCUCAA